AUGGAGCCAUGUAGCAUGGCCAAGAUAAUGAGCUUAGGGAAGCUUGCUAUACACCGGACGUAUUUGUGCACCCUAAUCUUCAGAACUUUGCCAAAGAUGCUAGGCUUCACUCCCAGUUCACUGAAGAAAUUCUGCAAAGUUGAACAUGUUGAGAUACAACUGACCAAGAAGACUACACUAGGCACACUGCCGGAGUGGCCUCCGGACAUCUUGAUGGGUAUCUUUGCCACCCUUGAGAUCCCUGACCUCGUGCGUACCGGCUCUGUCUGCUCCUCCUGGCGCUCCGCAUACACAAGCCUACGGAGCCUUGGGCAGUACAAUCUCCAGUAGACCCCAUGCCUCCUCUACACUUCUGAAUCCACCGGUGAGAGUGUUGCGUGCCUCUAUAGCCUCGCAGAGAAGAGAUCAUACAAGUUAAGUCUCCCGGAGCCGCCUAUACGCACUAGGUGUUUGGGGUCCUCACAUGGCUGGCUGGUUACUGUUGAUGACAGAUCUGAGAUGCACGUCUCCAAUCACAUAACAUGUGAACAGAUUGCUCUCCCUUCGGUGAUCACCAUCAAGAAGGUGAAUCCCGUAGUUGAUGAGUAUGGUGAUGCCCACAUGUAUGAGUUCUCAAGGCACACUACCCGUGGUGCUUAUAGCUCGCCAUCAAUCUUUGCUCUUAACAAGCUGCGGCACGAGAUCCACUAUAAAGCGUUUGUUUUCCCUGAUACAUCCAUUGGAAGCUACAUCGUCAUGCUCAUCCAUAAUCCAGUGCGUCAGCUCUCUUUUGCAAGGGGUGAUGAUAACUGGACCUGGUUGCCACCUUAUGAUGACUAUAGUGACUGCACUUACAAGGAUGGCUUCUUGUAUGUUGCAUGUAAUUACAAGGGAGAACUUCACACCUUUGAUCUUAAUGGCCCUGUGGUCACAAGGAAGACGAUUAUAAACAUACCAAGGAAGUAUGAUUGCGAGUACAUGUACACUGUUCAAGCUCCAUGGGGUGGUCUGCUACUUAUAUGUAGAAUCUUUGAGGAUCAUAAUGUAGAACCUAAACCUGGAGCAUCUGUGUUUUGCAACACUACGCAAUAUAGCGUAUAUGAAUUUGACGAUGCUGGAAGUGAACUUAAGGAAAUCAAUUGCUUGCGUGACCAUGUGUUGUUUCUUGGGCAUAAUCAACUACUUUGUCUUGGUGCUGAAGAAUAUCCUUCUCUCAGGGCAAAUCAUGCCUACUUCACCGAUGAUAAUUCCUUAUGGGCAUGUGGAUUGAAGAAUAAUCACUGUGAUAUGGGAGUUCUCAACUUGGAUGAUAAGAGCAAGCAGGACCUUGUGUCUCCGCAGCUUUGGUCAAACUUUUCGGCCCCAAUGUGGAUUACACUUGAUCUUCGAAAGAUGAACUUGUCUUCAAGGGGGAGAUUGAAGAAAACGGAUCGAUGGAUUCAAUGA
rnacentral:rRNA from 1 species